GGCCCGUUCGUCUAGGGGUUAGGACGUGAGAUUUUCAUUCUCAAAACAGGGGUUCGAUUCCCCUACGGGCUA
rnacentral:tRNA from 1 species